rnacentral:tRNA from 3 species
AGGGGCAUAGUUCAGUGGUAGAACGUCGGUCUCCAAAACCGGAUGUCAGGGGUUCAAAUCCUCUUGUCCCUGCCA